AGUGAACGCUGGCGGUAGGCCUAACACAUGCAAGUCGAACGGCAGCACAGUAAGAGCUUGCUCUUACGGGUGGCGAGUGGCGGACGGGUGAGGAAUACAUCGGAAUCUACUUUUUCGUGGGGGAUAACGUAGGGAAACUUACGCUAAUACCGCAUACGACCUACGGGUGAAAGCAGGGGAUCUUCGUACCUUGCGCGAUUGAAUGAGCCGAUGUCGGAUUAGCUAGUUGGCGGGGUAAAGGCCCACCAAGGCGACGAUCCGUAGCUGGUCUGAGAGGAUGAUCAGCCACACUGGAACUGAGACACGGUCCAGACGCCUACGCGAGGCAGCGUUGGGGAAUAUUGGACAAUGGGCGCAAGCCUGAUCCAGCCAUACCGCGUGGGUGAAGAAGGCCUUCGGGUUGUAGAGCCCUUUUGUUGGGAAAGAAAAGCAGCAGGUUAAUACCCCGCUGUUCUGACGGUACCCAAAGAAUAAGCACCGGCUAACUUCGUG
rnacentral:rRNA from 1 species